GACGAACGCUGGCGGCGUGCCUAAUACAUGCAAGUCGGGCGAGCGGCGGGCGGGUGAGUAUCACGUAAGGAACCUACCGAUAAGCGGGGGACAACAUCCGGAAACGGGUCCUAAUACCGCAUACUUAUCGAUGGCCUUGCGGUGCAUUAGCUGGUUGGUGGGGUAGCGGCCUACCAAGGCAAUGAUGCAUAGCCGACCUGAGAGGGUAAUCGGCCACAUUGGAACUGUGAAACGGCCCAAACUCCUACGGGAGGCAGCAGGAGGGAAUCUUCCGCAAUGGGCGCAAGCCUGACGGAGCAACGCCGCGUGAGGGAAGAAGGUUUUCGGAUCGUAAAGCUCUGUUGUAAGAGAAGCGGUAUCUGAACAGAAAGCCACGGCUAACUACGUGCCAGCAGCCGCGGUAAUUC
rnacentral:rRNA from 1 species